rnacentral:rRNA from 1 species
CCUGAGAAACCCAAAAGAUCGAAUGGGGAGAUUCAUCGUCAGCGUGGCUGGCUUCCGUGCGGUUCGCGAUGGCCGGGAUCUCGGUCCCGCGUCACGCGUCCGCCGCGGUAUGUCUGGCCGCGUCGGCGUGCACUUCUCCCCUAGUAGGACGUCGCGACCCGUUGGGUGUCGGACCGAUGGCCGUUUGGUCGACUGUCUCGUCGCGUUCACGCGUGCACGCGGCAGACCGAAAUGGUCGAGCGUCCGGCUGCCCGGCGGUAUAGAACGCUAUUGAACGGUAACGAGCCGCACUAAGUGCGUUCAGGCUCGUCGGCAGGCUCGUCUCGCCCGGAUUUACGGACCUAGCGCCGUUGCCGGGUGCUUGGCGUGGCCGUUAGUCGACGAUGUCCUCGGACUGGCUCGAAAAUUCGAAAGGAUUACCGGUCGGCGACGCUACUGCUUUGGGUACUUUC